CCGCCUGGGGAGUACGGCCGCAAGGUUAAAACUCAAAUGAAUUGACGGGGGCCCGCACAAGCGGUGGAGCAUGUGGUUUAAUUCGAUGCAACGCGAAGAACCUUACCUACUCUUGACAUCCAGAGAACUUAGCAGAGAUGCUUUGGUGCCUUCGGGAACUCUGAGACAGGUGCUGCAUGGCUGUCGUCAGCUCGUGUUGUGAAAUGUUGGGUUAAGUCCCGCAACGAGCGCAACCCUUAUCCUUUGUUGCCAGCGAUUCGGUCGGGAACUCA
rnacentral:rRNA from 1 species